UACGUAGGGUGCGAGCGUUGUCCGGAAUUAUUGGGCGUAAAGAGCUCGUAGGCGGUGUGUCGCGUCGGCCGUGAAAACCUGGGGCUCAACUCUGGGCGUGCGGUCGAUACGGGCAUCACUGGAGUUCGGCAGGGGAGACUGGAAUUCCUGGUGUAGCGGUGAAAUGCGCAGAUAUCAGGAGGAACACCGGUGGCGAAGGCGCCGCUCUGGGCCGAAACUGACGCUGAGGAGCGAAAGCGUGGGGAGCGAACAGG
rnacentral:rRNA from 1 species